GCCAUGUCAUGUUGAAAGACCUGUUCUCAUACGAUCACCGAGGUUAAGCAAAGUCGAACCUGGUCAGUACUUACAUGGGUGAUCGCUUAGGAAUACCAGGUGCUGUAAG